CACAACGGUGAUUUUGGAAGAACCUGGUUAGGGAAGAGUAAAGCACGAUUAUUUUUGUCUACUUUGUUAAGAACUGAGAGUUCUGAAAAGUCUGGAUUGCACUAUGAAAAGUUUGCGUGCUUAGUGAAAUGUUGUCCAGUUGGCCAAUCCACUUGGUCUUGGGAAAUGUCCUAGAAGAUUGGCAAGAAAAUGUUCUCAAGAGAGCACAAGUGCUGCCAAUUUCCAAUUGACCAAGACACAUUACAAGGACAACCUUCUCUCGGAGCAACCUGGCAUUUCCACUCCAAUUGGAAUCUGCAACAAAAAGAUGCAUGCGGGAGAAAGACUAAAUAAACAAACCUUUCAGAUUUCCGCUCCAGUGUUGCAGGCGUUGUGUUGAUGUUGCAGCUACAGCGGGUUUGAUUUCUGGCCUUCGGGGAUCUCACAUACAGAGACUGAAGCAGGAAAAUAUGACGACAUGUGAUCCACUGGAACAGAGGCUCCGUGAAUUCAUGCUGGUGCUUUUCUUUGGUUCUGCUCACUGCUGUAUCACAAACCCUUGGAACAACGGCUGCACACAGUAAAGACAUAGAAAAUCUUCUGAUGCAUAGAGCUGUUUUGACUGCCUGAUGAUUUAGACAAUUACAAAGAACACGGACUUUGGAGUCACCUAGAACUUAGUCUGAAUGCUGCUCUGUUAUUUGCUACUUGUAUAAUCAUUGGCAAGAUAUUGAUCUGAGUGUGAGUUUCCUCAUCUAUAAAAUGGAGUUCUUCAACUACUAAAGUUCCGAUUGACAGAUUUGAAGUACCAUGAUAUCGUCAAGAAAAUCUGAAUCCGGAAAUCAAAUUAUUUUAAGCCAAGCAUAAGUGUAUUUCAUUCUCUUUCUUUGGAAAUUGGCGAUCUGGUUAUGGUCAUGACCACUGGUUAUGGUAGGGAACUAUAUCAAAUAUUCCCGAGCUGGAAACAAUGAUUAAAAGCACCCUUUUUAUUUGAUUCUGAAAAACAAAAGAAUGUAAGCUGUUCCCAAAAGAAAAAGAAAAAAAAAAAUCAACCCCGUACCGGGCCUCCCAACCCAGAGGCAGUGAACGGAACAGAUACGACGACGAGGAGACCCUGGGCGCCAGCUGUGAGCACCUUGAGCAGGUUCAUCCCGGCUGGGUCCACACCUCGGUGAUGAAUUAGUUAACAGUCUACAUAAUCUUCACGCGUUGCAGCUAAGAUUUCAGGUAUUUUCCCAGAAGAAAUUGAGAAGAGAUGGAGUCCUUGGUUGGUGCUGGAUAACUUGAUAUAGGAUUACAAAUAUUUAGGGCUGUUUUCCAUAAAGAGCUCUGGUGGCCCUCUUGUGACUCUCUCAAAAGAGGUUGAAGUCCUGGAGUGGAGUGAAGAGCCUCUCACCUCAGCUGGAAGGAGGACUACUCCAUUUUCACCCGUUUAAUGUCUGGCUUUCCUUGUCGAAUCUGAUUUGAAGGUAAGAGUCUGCUUCUCUAAAAAGUUUGAGAGCCUUUGGUCUAGUCCAUCCAAUUUCUCAUGGUAUUAAAUACACCUUCACUAGCCUCUCACCUUCCCCUUCAUCAAGGUCUUUCCUCCCUUCCUUGCAAACCUCCCUUAAGGCAUGCUUCUUGUGGAACUGCCACGGACUGAACUGUGUUCUCCCACAAUCCACAUGUUGAGGCCCAAUGCUCGCUUACCCAAUGUCACUGAAUGUGGAGAUAGAGUUUUUAGGAGGUAAGUAAGAUGAAAUGAAAUCAUAAGCAUAAGGCCCUGAUUCAAUAGGAUGAGUGCCCUGAUUAGGAGCGAUACCAGAGAGCUUCUCUCUUUCCGCAGGAGUACACACUUCAAAAGGCUACAUGGGGACAUAGCACGAGGCAGCUAUCGACAAGGCAGGAAAAGUGUUCUCACCAGAAAUGGAACCACCUAGAUCUUGAACUUCUAGCCUCCAGAACUGUGAGAAAAUAAACUUUUGUGGCUUAAGCUCCCCCCCCCCCCAGUCUAUAGUAUUUUGUGACAGCAGCCCAUGCCAACGAAGACAGAAUGCUAACCUCUGCCACUUGAGGGACAGAAGUUUCUCUUUAAAUCACUUCCUAGGCAUAGGUUUUUCCCUAGAGCAAUGAGUUCAAUAUGAGGAACUGAAAUGGAAACGAAAUGCGUUGUAUAACUAACUUUGAACCACCACUGCUGUGGGUGUGUGUGCCCGUCUUGCUGGUGUGCCCAAGGUUGAGUUAGGAGGUAGCUGUGGAAUAUGAACUCUGUAGAUGUAAAUAGCCACACAAAAACUAUGAUGCGUGUGCUCUGUGCACAUUAGCUCCUCUAGGAACUUAAGCUCCGGAGAGCAGUCUUGUGCACUCAUCAGCACAUUAUGGGAAUGUAAGAAAAAAAAAAAAAAUCAGAAAUAACAAAAUCACUAAGAGGUAGGUAGCCAAAUGUUAUUAUUAUCAUUUUAUAGAGGAAUAGCCAAAAGGUCAAGUAGCUUGUUCAAAGUGACACAGAAUAGGAGAGUCGAGCCCCGGAAUUAUUAACUUCUGUUUUCUAAUCUAGUGAACCUGAGGUUAUAGAAUCCGACUAGGAAGGUCAAAGCUAUCAGUUUUAUGUCACACGGUAGUUAUGAGGUGCUACACGCAUCGCUCCUGUUCUUUUGUCCCCUCACUGGGGAGCUGCUUGAUGACUGCAGCUGCAGCAACUUCCCCCACCCUGGGAAACCUGAACCUGAAGCCAGACACUGUAUGAAAAGUCAGUACCUCUGACUGACUGUGGAUUUCAACUCUCCGGUUCUCUAGGCCGUUCAAUAGUGGCAUCUAAUCAGAAUCCCUUUUGCUCAAUCUGUGUUUCCUUUGUUGGGAAAAGGCCUGGUGAUCUCUUGAGAAGAGUCCAGGGGCUUCUGGUGGUGAGCGCCGGCGAAACCUGUUCCAAGACUAAAUAUCGGAAGCAGUCAGCCUGGCCACUGAAGGCAGGACCGGUUUCCCACGCUCUGCCGCCAGCCCACAGCUUCUGAAAUACUGUGUUCUCGGUUAGGUCUCCAUUUGAUAAAAGAGACUUGAUGAAAGGAUGCCUCCUGAAAAGGCUUUGUAAUAAUUAAUCAGUCAUCACCUUCUUUUGCCUCCCCAAGGUUUUGGCACUGUUGAUCAGGCCUUCCUGCAAAUUCUCUCUCUCUCUCUCUCUCUCUCUCUCCCCCUUUUUGGCUCAGGGACAAUAGGCUGACUUCUACAAUAGCCACUCCUGUCCUUUGUUUACUUCUGUUUGAUACCCUUCCUCCCCAGAUGUGGAGGGGAUUCUUCAAAUUCAGGGCUCUGUGAAAAUUACCAGCUGCUACUGAGGACAACAGGACUCACCUCCUGAAAUCAAAACUUCAUGCCGUGCUGCUAUGAAGUUAAAUCAGGCAGAAUCCAUACAACAAAAUGCAAAGAAUGGUAUAUUUGGAACUAUCUGAAACAAUGUGGGUCAAGCACAGCUUUGAAUGAAGACAGAAGAGCACUGUUUUUUCCCCAGUUAAGUUUAAAAAGAUUUAUUUCUCAGCUAUGUUCAACUCUGCUAGAUACUGCAGGGGAUAUAAAAGCCAGGCUUAGGGAGUGACGACAGAGGUCAACAAUUUUGAGCAUUUACCGUCUGCAGAGCACUGCGAAAGAGAUAAAGAAGCAAAACACAAAAAUAUACAAGAAAUAUUUAUAGUUAAAAUGAAGCUAUACAUGAUUGCAUAUUCAGUGAAUGGUACAAAGGAUCAGAGAUGUGGUUAUUCUGAGUGAGGAGGGAAUAUUGUAGGAUGGAAGAUGACCCAAGAAGGCACACCUGGAAUAAUCUUUCCAAAAUGCCCAUCUGAUGGUAUCAGCCUGUCCCACCCCAUUAAAAAUUCAUCCUGGGAAUCAGGGAUUUUUCCAGCUCUACUUCUGCAGCCUCAUCUCUUGGGCUCUCUGUCUAGAAUUUAAGGCUCCUGCCAUACUAAAAAUUGACCUGUUUCUCAAACAUUCUAAUUUGUACACCUCAGAACUUUUACUUAGGCUUUCCUUCUGCCUGGGGUGUUUAAAAAAUUUCUCUUGUCUUGCUAAUUCUUACAAAUUCUGAGAUAUGCCCUGGGUUCCAUAUCUGGGUUAGGUGCUUUCUUGUCCUAUUAAUUUAACUGCAAUGACCGUAGCUUCUUCCUUGUGUUACUCUAUCACGAGGCUCUGGUCACUGAGAGGUCAGAAGCUUACCAGCUGCAUCACAGUCCAUCUGAGGACAGGGACUGAGGUCCGGCAGAGCUUUGAGGUCACCAUAGGGUUCUCACAGCCCAAAAGGAGCAGGCAAGUGCUGGAACAAGGCUGGGAAUGACUAUCAUUUUCCCAGCACCCUCCUUAGCCCUGUGAUGGGAACCCUAAAGCCAUGACCUCUUCCUAUCUUUCUGUGAACUCUGCGAAGUUAUUAUUUUAUCCCCAUCUUAGAGAAGAAGAAACUGAGGAUCAGAAGGUUUAACUUUCUAAUUUGAGGUGACGUAGCUGGUCAGUUGUAAAACUGGAAUUUAAAUCAGGUCUGUAGGCCCUAUGGGUUUGUUGGGGAAAUGUUUAUUUAUAUAUUUAAAUUUUUUUCAUCAUAUUGAUAAUUUGAAAAUUUAAGUCAGUGUGAUACUAAGCCCUUGGCAUGGAUAUACACACAAACACCAGAGAGGAGGUGCCAUAAUUAGGCUUGUCUCCCAGAGAAGGAGACUGAGGCUCAGAAAAUUUGACCAGGCCAAAGCCACCCCAGUAGCAGAGGGAGGGUGCAUAGGGCGUGAACCCCGGGCUGCAGGCUCUAGAGUUGGGUUAAUCAUCCAGGCUCUCAGGUUCGCUGCCUGGAUUCCUGUCCUGCCUUUUACGAGUCAUACAACUCUGGGUAAGUGACUUCACCUCUCUGAUCCUCUUUGUCCUCAUUUGUGGUUUUGAGGACUCAGUAUAAAAUCCUUAGGGCAGAGUCUGAUGUAGAGUAAAUAAUAAAGGUUAGCAUUUAUACCCUUCUUAUUAGUUAUUAUUAUUAUUGCUAAAGGUCUCAUUUCAUCAAAGAUCAAAUAUUUUCUUCUCUCUUUGAUAUAGCACAAUAUUUUUUUGGCAUCUUUAUUAUCUAAGAAAUUUUUUAGUCAAAAUUUUAUGAAGAAUGUUUCAAGGAAUCAGAAUUUGCAACAAUCAUUACUCGAUUUUGUGAUGAAUUGUUUUCCAAAUGAAAUUUCAGAGGCCAUGAAUUUUGACAGUUGAGGUGGUGGGAGAGAAAUAUGCCUUUUUCAAUUAGGAAUGUAUUAACGGGUUUACACGAAGCCUUGGAGAAAAAUCUAGACAGCAGCUGCAGGGGUAAGGAACUAAGUAAAGGCCCAUGUCUGGCUUCCUUCACAAUUGAAUUUUUGCAUACGUGUUGCUGGAACUAUUCAGCGGUCUUCAUCAUCUUGUCUGUAACAAUUUGAGCAUUGGCCUCCCCUAAUUCUUGAUUUGACUUAAUGAGACGGGUUUGGAAUUUUCCUGCUUGGUCUUGGAGCUGUGUGUACCACAUCAAUACAAACCAGGUAAGUAGAAAAGUCUCAGUUCAAAAACAGCCUCUACCUAACGUACCUAUCAGUAAGCAAAUAUCAUAGUCUCAGCUGAAUUUUACCUUUGUUUUAAUGAAAGAUAUUAAAAUCUGUUAUCUUACUAAUUGGUGAAACCUCCUGAAUUUCGUGUCAUUAAAAGAUUAUGGGACUGAGACCCAGAAGACGUUUCAUCUUAUUUCUAAUACCGAACAGCAGUAGAAAUACCCUCACGUUUCUGGGCUUUCUUCUUCUCGUAUACAGAAUGAGUGACAUGGACGGGAUUAGGGGCCAGCCAACAACAGCCUUGGGUCAAAUCCAGACCACACCUGCUCUGUACAGAUUGCCACAGAGCUCAUUUGUGUAGGCAGUUUCCGUGGCUCCUUUCCUGAUGCAACAGCAGAGCUGAGUAAUUGCGACACAGAGCCUGAAAUUUUGGGGAUCUGGUCCUUUACAGAAAGUUUGCUGAGCCCUGAAUUUGAUUAUCUCUAAGAUCAUUUCAAGCUUUAAGUUAGAAACACAGCUCCACUAUUUAUCAGUGGAGUGACCUUGAACAAAUCGCUUAACCUUUCUGGGUCUCUGUUCCUGCAAGGGUACAAGAGGAAAGAUAAUAAAAGAAAUG